UAAAAUUUUAAAAUAACUGUAACUUGGAAACUGCAAUAACCAAAACAUAAGCCUUUUAAUAGUUUUAUUUGCUUUGAGAUGGCACUAUUGUUGACUUCCAGUAGCUAGCCUAGAAGAAAUUCGAAGCUUUGUGCACUUUAAGGGGUUGUUCACUUGUGAACAACUGGGAUAGUUUUUUGGAAAAGUAAUAUAAGAAAACUGAUUUACAUAGUUUUG
rnacentral:misc_RNA from 1 species